ACCUGGCUGGCUUAGUCAAUGGAGCAUGGGACUCUUGAUCCCAAGGUUGUAAGUUCGAGUCCCAUGUAGGGUG
rnacentral:tRNA from 1 species